rnacentral:rRNA from 1 species
AUGAAGAGGGAGUACGAGGAGUUCAAGGUGAGGAUGAACUACCUCGCUGCCAAGACGAGCAAGGUGCCGGAGGAAGGAUGGCUCAUGUCCGACGGCACGCCGUGGCCCGGGAACAACUCGAGAGACCACCCCGCCAUGAUACAGGUCCUCCUGGGGCACUCCGCCGAUGAUCGCGACGCCGAGGGGCUGGAGCUCCCUCGGCUCUUCUACGUGUCGCGGGAGAAGAAACCGAGUUUCCAACACCACAAGAAAGCCGGCGCCAUGAACGCAUUGAUCGACAUGAAAUGCUUGGACGGCGUUCAGGGCCCGGUUUACGUCGGCUCCGGGUGCUGCUUCAACCGGAAGGCGCUGUACGGGUUCGAGCCGGCGGUGGCUGACGACCCUGACGACCUGGAGACCGGCCGUCGGAGGUGGUGCUGUUUCGGGGGCAGGGAGAGGCGAAAGCUGAGGCUGAGGAGGAACAGGUCCGUCGUGCCCUUGCUGGACUCUGCAGACGAUGAUGAGGAAACAGUGGGAGCGAGGAGACGGAGGCUGCUCUCGUACCACGCUGCCCUGGAGCGGCACUUCGGCCAUUCCACAUUGUUCAUUGCCUCGGCGUUCAAAGAGAAAGGGCCGGCGGCCAUGGCAGCGGCAGCCACUCCUCUCCUCAAGGAGGCCAUCCACGUCGUCAGCUGCGCGUACGAGGAGCGGACGAGAUGGGGCAAAGAGGUUGGAUGGAUUUACGGCGCCGGCGCCGGCCUGGCGACGGGAUUCAGGAUGCACGCGCGCGGGUGGGCAUCGGCGUACUGCGUGCCGACGCGACCCGCGUUCAGGAGCUACGCGGGGGCCAGCCCCUCGGACAUGCUCGCCAGCGCGUCGCGGCGGGCGUCGGCGGCCAUGGGGAUCCUGCUGAGCCGGCACUGCCCUGUCUGGGCCGGCGGCGGCAGCAUGAGCCCCCUGCAGAGGCUGGCCUACGUGAACUGCGUCGCCUACCCGCUCACCUCCAUCCCGCUCACCGUCUACUGCGCGCUCUCGGCCGUCUGCCUCCUCACCGGCAAGUUCAUAUUCCCGGACGACGUGGACGACUACGACGGCUUCCUGCUCGUCCUGCUGCUGUCCUCGGUGAUCGCCAGCGGUGGCGGUGUCCGAGCGUCUGGCUGA